rfam:Bacteroidetes bacterium 38_7 MPI_scaffold_6216, whole genome shotgun sequence.
GACUCCGUAGCUCAGCUGGUAGAGCAAUUGACUCUUAAUCAAUGGGUCGAGGGUUCGAGCCCCUCCGGGGUCA